rnacentral:rRNA from 1 species
UACGGAGGGGGCUAGCGUUGUUCGGAAUUACUGGGCGUAAAGCGCACGUAGGUGGCGACGUAAGUCGGGUGUGAAAGCCCCGGGCUCAACCUGGGAAUUGCAUUCGAGACUGCAUUGCUGGAGUACGGAAGAGGAGGGCGGAAUUCCCGGUGUAGCGGUGAAAUGCGUAGAUAUCUGGAGGAACACCGGUGGCGAAGGCGGCAUCCUGGACCAACACUGACACUGAGGAGCGAAAGCCAGGGGAGCAAACGGG